GUGUGCACCUGCCCUUCCGUCCCUUUUGUCGGCGGCGUGCUCCUGGCCUUAAUUGGCUGGGUCGCAGUUCCGGCGCUGUUACUUUGAAAAAAUUAGAGUUCUCAAAGCAAGCUUAUGCUCUGAAUACAUUAGCAUGGAAUAACGUGUUAGGAGUCUGGUCCUAUUGUGUUGGCCUUCGGGACCGGAGUAAUGAUUAAUAGGGACUGUCGGGGGCAUUCGUAUUUCAUUGUCAGAGGUGAAAUUCUUGGAUUUAUGAAAGACGGACCACUGCGAAAGCAUUUGCCAAGGAUGUUUUCAUUAAUCAAGAAUGAAAGUUGGGGGAUCGAAGACGAUCAGAUACCGUCCUAGUCUCAACCAUAAAUGAUGCGGACCAGGGAUCGGCGGAUGUUGCUCUAAGGACUCCGCCAGCACCUUCUGAGAAAUCAGAGUGUUUGGGUUCCGGGGGGAGUAUGGUCGCAAGGCUGAAACUUAAAGGAAUUGACGGAAGGGCACCACCAGGAGUGGAGCCUGCGGCUUAAUUUGACUCAACACGGGGAAACUUACCAGGUCCAGACAUAGUAAGGAUUGACAGAUUGAGAGCUCUUUCUUGAUUCUAUGGGUGGUGGUGCAUAGCCGUUCUUAGUUGGUGGAGCGAUUUGUCUGGUUAAUUC
rnacentral:rRNA from 1 species